UCAGAACUGUGUGUGCUGUAAGGGAGGAGUGGAUCGAUGUGUAACAGGAUUUGGACACAAUUAUUGUUUAGAUGGCUGUGUUGAUGGAAUAUAUGGCUACAGAUGUCAUAACACCUGUCCCGGUAACUGUUAUUCGUGUGCACUAGAGACAGGCAGGCCAUGUUACAGCUGCAAGGCUACAUUUUAUGAUACAAACAGUCUGUGUAGCAAGAGCUGUUCAGUCGGGUGUGAUGGGGGAGUCUGUAAUGAUGAUGGAACAUGUAAUACAUGUACAGCAAACUUCGAAGGAUCAAAAUGUGAGACGUGCAUACAAGGAAAGUAUGGUUCACUUUGUACACUAAAUUGUAUUCACCAGAACUGCCGAUGUUCGACUGGAACUGAUUGUACCUCUUGUAAAACGGGGUUCUACGGUAGAAGUACCUUCUGUCAAACACCUUGUUCCCCGGGUUGUCUAGAUGGCGUUUGUAAUUACGACGGUAGUUGCAAAUGUCAAGCUCGGUUUUUGGGUAACACAUGCAGUGAAUGUCAGUCAGGAUAUUAUGGGGCAUACUGCAAUGUGUCCUGUUCCGAAGGAUGUAAAAACGGACUGUGCUUAAAAGAUGGCACUUGUACAUGUAGCCCAAACUUCGUAGCAGCGAAAUGUGAUACGUGUGUGGAUGGAAGAUACGGGGUAAGCUGUAGAGAGAUUUGCAGCGUAGGAUGUACCACAUCGUCCUGUGACAGAAAAAAAUGGCUUUUGUAAAUGUCUUCCUUACUUUAGUGGAGCUAGAUGCGACCAAUGUAAAUUAGGAUUUUACGAACAAUUAUGUAAUUUUCCUUGCUCUGAUAAUUGCAAAGAACGCACAUGCUCACGAUACCAGGGGAACUGCACACAUGGUUAUGUUGAUGGAUAUUCGGGUCAAAAUUGCACAACCCCUUGUGACAACACAUGCGAAACAUGUCUACAAAAUGAUAAAUCAAACUGCGUGUCAUGCUACAAUGGAUACAAUGGAUCAACAUGUCAAUGUCCACCAAAUUGCAAAUGUGACUCUGCGCCUGAUGUAUGCACUACAUGUGCAGAUGGGUAUGCUAAUCCUAAAAAGAAAUGCAAGUGUCAGACUCAAUAUUGUACCGGAUCCGUGUGUGAUAAAUGUAUUAACCAAACAUAUUAUGUUGAUAACAAUGCGUGCUGCGAAUGUCCGGAGAAUUGUAAAGAUGGUACGUGCAUAGAUGGACCUAGAUGUAUUUCUGGUUGCAUUGACGGUUUUUACGGUUUUGAUUGUUCUCAACGUUGUUUGUCCCUGAGUGCUGAUUGUUUAAGAUGUUAUCAGACGAAUGGAAUGUGUCUGGAAUGUAACGACGGUGUAUAUCCCCAUGACAACGGAAGCUGCAUAAGUUGCAGUAGGAGUUGUCUGAAUAAUCAGUGCGAUUCUGAGACUGGCGCAUGUAUCAAUGGUUGCACAGAAAGAUUUUGGGGGGACAAGUGUGAUAUUCUGUGUGGUGCAAACUGUGAAACUUGUCAGCGAGAUUCGGGAAUCUGCUUGUCUUGUACAGACACGACUUACCAUGGUCUUUCUUGCAACGAAUCAUGUAGCUACUCCUGUUUUGAAAGCAAGUGCGAACUAAAGACUGGUUAUUGUUCCAAUGGGUGCUCCAGAGAUUCCUUUGGAAGUAUAUGUGAUAUUAAAUGCCCUUAAAAAUUGUCAGCAAGGGGACACAGACUCAAGUUGUAAUAUUGAUGGUGAAUGUUUAUAUGGCUGCAUCGAUGACCUUGAAGGCAGAGAUUGUUCAGAACGAAGAAUUUACAUUGGUUCUUCCACAAUAAGUGCUCUCGCAGCUUUAUCUGCAGUUUUGGGCAUAAUGCUUAUUUGUACCGCUGCUGGUUGCUACUUGUGGAACAGACGAAGAUCUAUACCAACAGAACAGGGCGAUCAGCGUGAAACGGAGAUGACCUAUGAACAGCUACAAGGACAGACUAACGAACUAACAAACACGAACGACGAAAAUUAUUCCGUGCUUUCAGUGUAGAAGAUUUUACAUAAGUGUAUGGGUAUUACGAGAUUGUUCAUUUUUAUACUGAACCUAGAACACAGUCAGGUUUUUUUUUAUCUGUUUCUAGUAGUAGUUAUGUAUAUUUUAACGUUUCCAGUAUACAUGUUACAUUGUUUGUUAUGUGCGAUUGUUAGUGGUUACCUCAUCACGUUAACAUGCUAUUAGAAACAUAUGAGGUUGUUGGACUAAUCCAGUAAAAUACCAUAUUUCCCUUUCUGAUAGAAUUGAUCUUAAAUUGAAGACGUAUAUCCAAACACACAAAAAAAUCCAAUCAUAUACUUGUGGCUCUGAAGGUUGUGCAUCCAACGCAAGACCACCGCAAAGUUCUAUAGAACUGUCUAACAGUGAUCGUUCGAUCGCUAUAUAUUGACAUUUUCGGUAAGCAGUGCUAAAACCAACCACAUUAUGAUAUAAAUACAACCAGUCCAUAGGAACUGGUCAUCGCAAUAAAAGAAAUAACCAUAUUUUUAAUGCCUGCAAAUCAGUAUCGAAAAGUCGCUUAGCGAGAGAACGAAAACUGUCAAUUUCCCCAUUUUGUUUGUUUCAUAAUUUGCUAUGUAAACUAUUUAAAUAAAUCCUAACUAGCUUCACUAUCGUUAGAUAAAGUGUAAUGAACGAAAAAUAAAUUUACCAAAUUAUUGUGUGAGGGGGGUCUUUAUUGCUUUUAAUCAAUAAUUCAAUAUGUUUCGACUUUCGUACGAAAACAAAAAUGCUGUAUUCUCGCUCAAAACACAAAGUAUCCUAUCCUAAGUCUUUUAAAUAUAUGACUUUUAAAAUACAGUGUACCUUUUCACUUAUAACUUCUUGGAAGUUACGUAUGUAGUGUAUUACUUUAUAUAUUUUUAUUUAUUUAUUACCACCGUACAGUUUGUGAUUAAACAUAUUAAGAAUACAAAACACAUAUAGCUUUACGUAACAGUUCCGACUUGAAACAAUUAGGUAAACAUCUUAUAUACAAAUGCUUAUAAUGAUUUAAAUGCUAUUUAUUUUCUCGGAUAUUGUAUUCAUUCCGUUUGGUUUAAAUGAACAUUAUGAGUAUGGUUCACCUUUUUUAUAUUAUAAUAUUUACUUGUUAUAUUAUAACAGUAUUGGAAGUUUCGUUUAAGCUAGUUCUUAUAGAUUUGUUUCAUUUCAUAUACAAUAGAUGGUUAUAUAGUGGCAUACGCUUAAUUAUUGUUAUAAGUUUAGUUUUAAAAUUGAAAUGUUCGAGAAAUCCAGUUCACAUUAUGACAUGACUGUGUGCUUAUAUUUAUAUUUGUCUUCAAAUGGACAUCAUAUCUAAUACUUUGAGUACUUUGUUUCAUUUUUAUUUUGUUUCUCAUUUGGUUUUCAUUUUUGUUUAUUCAUAGUGAUUUUAUUUCGUAGCAAAAUAGUUAUUAUAUAUGAUUGUUGAAUUCGUUGAUAUACAAUCAUCCUCUGCAUUUGUUUAACCAAGUUUUAAAACUAAUCUUAUUUGAUUCAGGUAAAAAAAAUACAAGAGCAUAUACAUAUUUGGUUAUUUCUAAGGCUCCAUAUUGUUUCAUAUUGUAUAGGCUGUCCGAUGUAAGAAGUAACAGACAUUUAUAUAACUAUCAUUAAAGAGCAAUUAUGUUGCUAUCGUGUAACUAAAUAUCAACACACCAAAUUGAUGGUCAGGUUAAAAGUGAUUACACAACGUUCGUUACUAUGUGUAUUACUCACUGACGUUGUCAGGUUUAUAGUGAUUACACAAACGUUCGUUACUAUAAAACAGUUAUCAACAAUAAAACAGUGAUGAAUCAACUGAUAGACAAAACCAGGUAAUAUUUAUUUUCUUAACUUAUGUUGCUGUGUAUGCUUAUUCGAUAUUAACUCAUUUUUAUAUUGAUUUGUUUAAUUAUAAAAUAUAAAUAUAUAAUCAUUGAAUCACCCGAAAACACUAUAUCUUAUAUAGAUUUGUUCACAUGCGACAUGGCCUUUUUAAAUAAUUUGAAAAUAAGCUUAUCUAUCACUGCAUUAAAUUUGUUACCCUUUUGUACAUUCACAUUGCAAAUAACGUCUGCAUCACUUUAAAUACGUUCAUCUCACAAAUGUAUUGAAACAUGAUUUAAAUCAACUAUAUCCUUGUAUUAAUAUCAACAGAUUUGUAUAAGCAACAAACAAGUAGAAUGUACAAACACGAUUCAAUGUUCAUUACUUGUUUGACUUUAUAAAGAAUAAUGCAAAGUUUUAAUUAUGAAGUGAACAUUUGUAAAAGUAGUUAUGUGUUU